UGGAAGUUUUGCAUAUCGCACAUUCGCAAUGACUGUAUUCCUUUCCGUGGCAGUGUGUGGUUGGGCUUUCAGUGCAACAUUAUUCAUUGGAAUCAAGAAGAGGAAUCCGAAUUGCUUGUUGUCGUACAUGGUGUGGGUGUGCUUUUCACAUUUCUUCCUUAACACCAUAUUACUUAUUACUACAAUUGUGGCUGAUAAUGUCUUCAUCCGCCUGUUCACGAUGUCGACGAUAUACACUUGUUAAUUACGAUAACAGCGAUGCUCGUAAACUUUAUGUCUACACCUCUGUGGCCUACUAUCUCUUUGGAAUAAUUUCGUUUAUCAUCAUUUACAAGCAAUUUCGAAUUUUGAAAGAGCGGAAAAACUUGCUAAAAAAUGACAUUGAUGUACGUUAUACGUUGCAGA